GACGAACGCUGGCGGCGUGCCUAAUACAUGCAAGUAGGACGCACAGUUUAUACCGUAGCUUGCUACACCAUAGACUGUGAGUUGCGAACGGGUGAGUAACGCGUAGGUAACCUGCCUAUUAGAGGGGGAUAACUAUUGGAAACGAUAGCUAAUACCGCAUAACAGUAUGUAACACAUGUUAGAUGCUUGAAAGAUGCAAUUGCAUCGCUAGUAGAUGGACCUGCGUUGUAUUAGCUAGUAGGUAGGGUAAUGGCCUACCUAGGCAACGAUACAUAGCCGACCUGAGAGGGUGAUCGGCCACACUGGGACUGAGACACGGCCCAGACUCCUACGGGAGGCAGCAGUAGGGAAUCUUCGGCAAUGGGGGGAACCCUGACCGAGCAACGCCGCGUGAGUGAAGAAGGUUUUCGGAUCGUAAAGCUCUGUUGUUAAGGAAGAACGAGUGUGAGAAUGGAAAGUUCAUACUGGGAC
rnacentral:rRNA from 1 species